ACGGGUGAGUAAUGUAUCGGAACUUACCCUGUAGCGGGGGAUAACUACUCAAAAGAGUAGCUAAUACCGCAUACGCCCUACGGUGGAAAGGGGGGGAUCUCAAGACCUCUCACUAUUGGAGCGGCCGAUAUCGGAUUAGCUAGUUGGUGGGGUAAAGGCUCACCAAGGCGACGAUCCGUAGCUGGUUUGAGAGGACGACCAGCCACACUGGGACUGAGACACGACCCAGACUCCUACGGGAGGCGGCAGUGGGGAAUUUUGGACAAUGGGGGCAACCCUGAUCCACCCAUCCCGCGAGUGCAAUGAAGGCCUUCGGGUUGUAAAGCACUUUUGGCAGGAAAGAAAUCGCACGGGUUAAUACCUUGUGUGGAUGACG
rnacentral:rRNA from 1 species